rnacentral:rRNA from 1 species
UGGGGAAUCGUUCCGCAAUGGACGAAAGUCUGACGGAGCAACGCCGCGUGUAUGAUGAAGGUCUUCGGAUUGUAAAGUACUGUCAUUGGGGAAGAACGGUUUUCUUGAAAAGAUUGAGAAGACAUGACGGUACCCAAGGAGGAAGCCCCGGCUAACUACGUGCCAGCAGCCGCGGUAAUACGUAGGGGGCAAGCGUUGUCCGGAAAUUAUUGGGCGUAAAGGGCGCGUAGGCGGGCCUUUAAGUCCGGUGUGAAAGAUCAGGGCUCAACCCUGAGAGUGCAUCGGAAACUGGAGGCCUUGAGGACAGGAGAGGAAAGUGGAAUUCCACGUGUAGCGGUGAAAUGCGUAGAUAUGUGGAGGAACACCAGUGGCGAAGGCGACUUUCUGGACUGUAACUGACGCUGAGGCGCGAAAGCGUGGGGAGCAAAACAGGAUUAGAUACCCUGGUAGUCCACGCCGUAAACGAUGAGUGCUAGGUGUAGAGGGUAUCGA